GCUGGGUGCAGUGGUGUAUGCCUAUAAUCUCAGCAACUGGGGAGGCUGAGGCAGGAGGAUCCCAAGUCCAAGGCCAGCCUCAGCAACUUAGUGAGACCCUGUCUCAA
rnacentral:sRNA from 1 species